rnacentral:rRNA from 1 species
UCGGGAAUUUUGGGCAAUGGGGGAAACCCUGACCCAGCAACGCCGCGUGAAGGAUGAAGUAUUUCGGUAUGUAAACUUCGAAAGAAUAGGAAGAAUAAAUGACGGUACUAUUUAUAAGGUCCGGCUAACUACGUGCCAGCAGCCGCGGUAAUACGUAGGGACCAAGCGUUGUUCGGAUUUACUGGGCGUAAAGGGCGCGUAGGCGGCAUGACAAGUCACUUGUGAAAUCUCUGGGCUUAACCCAGAACGGCCAAGUGAUACUGUCGCGCUAGAGUGCAGAAGGGGCAAUCGGAAUUCUUGGUGUAGCGGUGAAAUGCGUAGAUAUUGCUCGGAAGGCCGGAGCCGAAGGGGCCCUACUGGUACGUAACUGACGCUGAGGCACGAAAGCGUGGGGAGCAAACAGGAUUAGAUACCCCCGUAGUCCCUGAGCGGGCUGGCAAGGCGCAU